rnacentral:lncRNA from 1 species
AUCGCAAGUAGCCAAGAUAAGAUGUACAUAUAAUGGUACUAAGUUUCCUAAUCGGAACUGACGAUUCCUAAUACCUCCUUGCCUUCUUGUACAAGACGUUGCAUAUAGCGGGGGCUUUUUCGUAGAAAUAACGAUAGCGAUCUUUCUAGUAAAAAGCAAAAUUCGCAAAUAUCCGGUUUGACACAAGUUUGAAUUAGAUAGGUGUUGCAAUUAUUUGUAAUCCGAACAGUCCGUAAUUGUGUGAGAAUAGAAGUAGAGAAUAGAAGAAGAAAAUACACCUUAACAAUACAAAUCGUCUCUGAUGUCAGAUAGGCAAAAUACAACCACAAACGGAGAUAAAAUAAAAAUUAAAAAAAAUUUAUUUGUUGGAUUUCGAUAUGAAUACGAAUCGAUAAAGAUUAUGUUGUCGCUCGAUUUAGGGGAUCUACUCCACAUCUUAUUCGAUAUUUCUGAUAAUAUCUCAGAUAAAGAUUUAACGAUUCUUGGUAAUUCGCUCGCGUGUAAAUACGUAUAUGAUAUUCAUGGUCUCGGUAUUAAGGCUUCAAUGACAUAUUGUUCCCAAAUUUGUAUAUUAAUAAUAGCUUCCGAAAUAAUAGAUUAUGUUGUAUAGAUUACAGCAAAGCCAGUUUGCGAAAAUCAUCGAAGCAGUAUUUGUAAUAAUCGCUGACGUAAAAUUACAAAUUAUAUGUAAGAAAUGAAUGUUAUAACUUUUUACCUGGUUUAAACAUAUGAAAAUCACAUUGGAUCUAAAUGAUUCUGGCGUGUCAUUUAAUACUCUAAAAGAGGAGCGUGCUAUUGCAGAGUUAGCUGGAGACUCAUCUUUCUUCAAAAAAGAUACAUACGUCGUGUCAUUUGCAGAAGAUCGUAAACAUUCCAUGAAUAUAUCUUCAACAAUGAUAUUGAAACACGCUUUGUGGAAGUAAUUGUUUUUAUGUUUUUUGCACAACGAUGCUUUCGACUAGAAGCAAUCGAUUUGAAUGGUCGUUAAAUGUGGGAGCAGAGGAAACGAGUGCCGGGUACAGAUGGUACUACGUAGUACCGCGAGUACAGUGAAAGUAAAAUUAAAGAGAGAAGAACGAAACUACGAAUCAUGAAAACAUCAUUAACUCUCGACCUGAUUUUUUCGGACUGUCUGAUCGAUAAACAAAAGUCUGAUCGCUUAUCAAUAUUGGGAUUGCGUCAAGAUCUAAAUGAUAAAUAUACAUGAGUUUUCCGUUAAAAUUUAAGAUCGGUAUAAAAAGUAGCUUUUCAGCUCUAUUAUAAUAUGACACGGUAUACGGCAAGUAUAGAAUUAAUUAUAUUUAUAGAUCUUUGAGACAAUACGUUUCGAUUAUUGAAGGACACUAGGGUAGUCGACUGACUAGUCAGUCAAUGUCCACCAGCUGUACGCGUAUCAGCGAAACCAGUUUUGGCUGGCAUAAUGGUCCAAAAACAGGAACGAAAGACACUCAAUGAAAACAUUACCAUAUGGAUAAACAUGAGAAAACAACAAACGUUGGAAUACAAACUACACUGUCAAAAAUCAAUUCUAAAUGAAACUCAUACGCAAAACUUUUAAACAAAGCGAUCGAGAAAAAAUGGUCACGAGCAAGAAAUCACAGAACAUCUUUAAACUUCAUCAAAAAACAACAAACUAUUUCAUAGAACAAAGCCCAACUGAAUCCAUCCAUGAUGGAAGGAACCACAGAAUGAACCUCAUGGUGUGAACACAUUGACCAAAAGAAUAAAUGGAUUAUCUACAUAGUAUAUUAUUAUAGAUAAUCAAUUGUAAU